rnacentral:rRNA from 1 species
CGGGGAUGCAAGCGUUAUUCGGAAUCAUUGGGCGUAAAGGGCACGCAGGCAGUCUUGUCAGUCAGAUGUGAAAGCCCGGGGCUCAACCCCGGAAGAGCAUUUGAAACAGCAAGACUUGAGUACGGGAGAGGAAAGCGGAAUUCCUGGUGUAGAGGUGAAAUUCGUAGAUAUCAGGAGGAACACCGGUGGCGAAGGCGGCUUUCUGAACCGAUACUGACGCUGAGGUGCGAAGGCGUGGGGAGCGAACAGGAUUAGAUACCCGCGUAGUCC